rnacentral:rRNA from 1 species
UACGUAGGUGGCAAGCGUUGUCCGGAUUUACUGGGCGUAAAGAGCGCGCAGGCGGUCGUUCAAGUCGCGUGUGAAAGCCCCCGGCUCAACUGGGGAGGGUCACGCGAUACUGAUCGACUCGAAGGCAGGGGAGAACGGAAUUCCUGGUGUAGCGGUGAAAUGCGCAGAUAUCAGGAGGAACACCGGUGGCGAAGGCGGGUCUCUGGGCCGAUACUGACGCUGAGGAGCGAAAGCGUGGGGAGCGAACAGG